rnacentral:rRNA from 1 species
GACGAACGCUGGCGGCGUGCUUAACACAUGCAAGUCGAGCGGAAAGGCCCUUCGGGGUACUCGAGCGGCGAACGGGUGAGUAACACGUGGGCAACCUGCCCCUCGCUCUGGGAUAACUCCGGGAAACCGGGGCUAAUACCGGAUAUGACCCUCUUAGGCAUCUUCGAGGGUGGAAAGUUUUUCGGCGAGGGAUGGGCCCGCGGCCUAUCAGCUUGUUGGUGGGGUGAUGGCCUACCAAGGCAGUGACGGGUAGCCGGCCUGAGAGGGCGACCGGCCACACUGGGACUGAGACACGGCCCAGACUCCUACGGGAGGCAGCAGUGGGGAAUAUUGCACAAUGGGCGCAAGCCUGAUGCAGCGACGCCGCGUGAGGGAUGACGGCCUUCGGGUUGUAAACCUCUUUCAGCACAGACGAAGCGCAAGUGACGGUACGUGCAGAAGAAGCACCGGCCAACUACGUGCCAGCCGCCGCCGUAAAAC